GCAUUUAACUUCCUUAGCAAUUCAUUAAAAGACUGAGGGCUUGCUUGACUUUAUUUUUUGUAUCUAAAAUUAAAAAUAAAGCAGGGCAGCCUUAAGAGAGGACAUUAAAGUGAUGGUACUUACUUUUGUUUGCUUAUUUUUAUUUUCUGAUGGAACAAAUAGUUUCCUUGGUAGGCAAACAACUUUCUGAGGGUCAGCAUAAUUGCAGUCAGCAUUUAUGCCCUUUCUGAGUUGGCAGCUUACUCUGCUGUGAGCCCUGCAUAAGAUGCCUGGUUCAGUGAGCAAAACUCACAUGGUGUCACUUUGAAGAUAAAGUCAUGUCUCCCAGGAUGCAUUGUCAACAAGCCUGAUGAGUAGGUUCUAACUUCCAAGGAUGACCCUGUGCCAGAGUUCCCAUAUUCAACAAAAUGGCUAAGAGCUUCUCCAGGAUCCAGGACUCGUGCUGGCUCCUUUCCUGAAACCUCAGCCUUUAAAAAGGAGAUCCUGCCAUUUGCCAAAACAUGGAUGGACCUGGAGGACAUCAUACUAAGUAAAAUGAGCCAGACAUGGAAAGAAAAAUAGUAUAUAAUCUCACUUACAGGCGGAAGCUUAAAAGAAGUCAAAUAAUCAUAUUUAAUUAUUAAAAGCCACUGUUAGCAUUAAAAUCCAAAUAUAUCAUUUACUCAGUCAUCUUCACACACACUAUUUGAAUUUCCUCUAUCCUGAUUUUAUCAAUACGUACAUUAUAAAUGAAAUACUGUACUGCAUAAGCGCCUUCUUUUUUCUUAUACAUAAUUUGUUUUUAUUUUCAUAUUGGUCAUUAUUUAAAUUGUAUAAAUUAUAAGAGUAUUUAAUUCCAUAUUGUUAGAUAGAUCAUCCUAGUUUUAUUUUUAUAAGUAACUCUAUCAUAAACAGUUUAUAGUACUAUCCAACGUACUGAUGUUUAAGAGCUUGGGCUUUGAAGUUGGGCAGAAUAAGCCUCAAAUCCUGUCAGAGCCUCUUAAUAGUAGUGUGACGUUAGACAUGCUAUUUAACCUCCCUGAACCUCAGUUCACCUGUGUCCUAAAUGGAUACAGAAUAGUAGCUUCAUGAUAAAUCUAUCCUGAGAAUUAAAUAAGAUGACCUAUGUAAACCAAUAUAUUGUAAAUGCUCAAUAGUUGUUAGCUAUUGCUAUAACAAUUUUUGUCCUUCUGAAUUAUCAAUUUGAGUUGAUUUCCCAAGAAUGAGAAUAUUGGUUAAAUGAUUUGGAGACUCAUUAAUUUAGUCAUAAUAUAAUUGAAUGUCUACUCUAUGUUAAGUGCUGAAAGAAAGUGGUGAACAGUCAGGUGAGGCCCCCAAAUAAGAGGUGUUUGCAGUUUGGAAGAGAAGAUAGACAUUACAUUAAGUCAUUAUAUUUAAAUAUAGUGUUGCAGAAGAGAAAGUAAAAGUGUUAAAAAAUGUAGACCAAGGAGAUAUAUAUUGCCUAAUUAACUUCCAAACUAUUGAACAUUUAAAAUAAUAUGUG
ensembl:lncRNA novel transcript